UACGUAGGGUGCAAGCGUUAAUCGGAAUUACUGGGCGUAAAGCGUGCGCAGGCGGUUCGCUAAGACAGAUGUGAAAUCCCCGGGCUUUACCUGGGAACUGCAUUUGUGACUGGCGGGCUAGAGUAUGGCAGAGGGGGGUAGAAUUCCACGUGUAGCAGUGAAAUGCGUAGAGAUGUGGAGGAAUACCGAUGGCGAAGGCAGCCCCCCUGGGCCAAUACUGACGCUCAUGCACGAAAGCGUGGGGAGCAAACAGG
rnacentral:rRNA from 1 species